rnacentral:rRNA from 1 species
AACGAACGCUGGCGGCAUGCCUAACACAUGCAAGUCGAACGAGACCUUCGGGUCUAGUGGCGCACGGGUGCGUAACGCGUGGGAACCUGCCCUUAGGUUCGGAAUAACUCCCCGAAAGGGGUGCUAAUACCGGAUAAUGUCUUCGGACCAAAGAUUUAUCGCCUUUGGAUGGGCCCGCGUUGGAUUAGCUAGUUGGUAGGGUAAAAGCCUACCAAGGCGACGAUCCAUAGCUGGUCUGAGAGGAUGAUCAGCCACACUGGGACUGAGACACGGCCCAGACUCCUACGGGAGGCAGCAGUGGGGAAUAUUGGACAGUGGGCGAAAGCCUGAUCCAGCAAUGCCGCGUGAGUGAUGAAGGCCUUAGGGUUGUAAAGCUCUUUUACCCGGGAUGAUAAGGACAGUACCGGGAGAAGAAGCUCCGGCUAACUCCGU